rnacentral:rRNA from 1 species
UAGGGAAUCUUCGGCAAUGGGGGCAACCCUGACCGAGCAACGCCGCGUGAGUGAAGAAGGUUUUCGGAUCGUAAAGCUCUGUUGUAAGAGAAGAACGUGUGUGAGAGUGGAAAGUUCACACAGUGACGGUAACUUACCAGAAAGGGACGGCUAACUACGUGCCAGCAGCCGCGGUAAUACGUAGGUCCCGAGCGUUGUCCGGAUUUAUUGGGCGUAAAGCGAGCGCAGGCGGUUUGAUAAGUCUGAAGUUAAAGGCAGUGGCUUAACCAUUGUUCGCUUUGGAAACUGUUAAACUUGAGUGCAGAAGGGGAGAGUGGAAUUCCAUGUGUAGCGGUGAAAUGCGUAGAUAUAUGGAGGAACACCGGUGGCGAAAGCGGCUCUCUGGUCUGUAACUGACGCUGAGGCUCGAAAGCGUGGGGAGCAAACAGG